ensembl:snoRNA Gm23079 predicted gene, 23079
CGUGCUCGUAGAAGGGAUGAAAGUGUGACUGCUGUGUCACUUCUGCAUCAGGAUGUGGCAGAGAGGAGAGGCGUGGCUACCUUCAGUGUUCUGAACUAGGAUUAAUAGCCUAACAUC